AUUGAACGCUGGCGGCAGGCUUAACACAUGCAAGUCGAACGAGUGGCGGACGGGUGAGUAAUGCUUGGGAAUCUAGCUUAAGGAGGGGGAUAACUACGGGAAACUGUAGCUAAUACCGCGUACCAUAGGAUGAGCCCAACGGGGAUUAGGUAGUUGGUGAGGUAAAGGCUCACCAAGCCGACGAACUCUAGCUGGUAUGCGUGGAUGACCAGCCACACGGGGACUGAUACACGGCCCAGACUCCUACGGGAGGAAGCAGGGGGGAAUAUUGCGCAAGGGGGUCAAGCUGACGAAGCCAGUGCGCGUGAAUUACGAAGGGCUUCGGGUUGUAAAGUUCUUUCAGUAGCGAGGCGUUAAUUACAGAAGGAGCACCGGCUAACGCCGUGCCAGCAGCCGCGGUAAUUC
rnacentral:rRNA from 1 species